CUGGAAUUAAAGGUGUACACCUCCACCCCAG
rnacentral:piRNA from 1 species